rnacentral:piRNA from 1 species
UCUUAAAGUAAAAAAAUAAAACCUGAGUUG